AUUGAACGCUGGCGGAAUGCUUUACACAUGCAAGUCGAACGGCAGCACGGAGAGCUUGCUCUCUGGUGGCGAGUGGCGAACGGGUGAGUAAUAUAUCGGAACGUGUCCAAUAAUGGGGGAUAACGAGUCGAAAGAUUCGCUAAUACCGCAUACGCCCUACGGGGGAAAGCAGGGGAUCGUAAGACCUUGCGUUAAUGGAGCGGCCGAUAUCUGAUUAGCUUGUUGGUGAGGUAAAGGCUCACCAAGGCGACGAUCAGUAGCUGGUUUGAGAGAACGACCAGCCACACUGGAACUGAGACACGGUCCAGACUCCUACGGGAGGCAGCAGUGGGGAAUUUUGGACAAUGGGGGCAACCCUGAUCCAGCCAUUCCGCGUGAGUGAAGAAGGCCUUCGGGUUGUAAAGCUCUUUCGCAAGGGAAGAAAACUUAUGAUCGAAUAAAUCAUGAGGUUGACGGUACCUUGAUAAGAAGCACCGGCUAACUACGUGCCAGCAGCCGCGGUAAUACGUAGGGUGCGAGCGUUAAUCGGAAUUACUGGGCGUAAAGCGUGCGCAGGCGGUUUUGUAAGUCGGAUGUGAAAUCCCCGGGCUCAACCUGGGAACUGCGUUCGAAACUGCAAGGCUAGAGUGUGUCAGAGGGGGGUAGAAUUCCACGUGUAGCAGUGAAAUGCGUAGAGAUGUGGAGGAAUACCAAUGGCGAAGGCAGCCCCC
rnacentral:rRNA from 1 species